UUAAGGGCAGCUGCUAGGAGCCUAAGAAUCACCCAUUCUUCAUGUUGCCAGAGAUGGAGUCAAACACACUCCUCCUAUGCAUGCUGCUGCUCGGAGUUCCAGGUUCCACUGGGGACAUUGUGCUGACCCAGUCUCCAGCUUCAUUGGCUGUCUCUCUGGGACAAAAGGCCACCAUCUCUUGCAAGUCCAGUGAAAGUGUCAAUUAUUAUGGCACAGAUGUAUUGCACUGGUACCAACAGAAACCAGGACAGCCCCCCAAACUCCUCAUCUAUGCAGCAUCCAAUACAGAAUCUGGGGUCCCUGCCAGGUUCAGUGGCAGUGGAUCUGAGACAGACUUCACCCUCACCAUCCAUCCUGUGGAGGCUGAUGAUGCUGCAAUCUAUCACUGUCAGCAAAGUAAGGAGGAACCGUGGACGUUCGGAGCCGGGACCAAGCUGGAAAUCAAACGGGCUGAUGCCAAGCCAACUGUCUCCAUCUUUCCACCAUCCCAAGAGCAGUUACAGGAUGGAACUGCCUCAGUUGUGUGCUUCCUGAACAACUUCUACCCCAAAGAAGCCAGCGUCAAGUGGGUAGUAGAUGGCAGUGAACAACGAAAUGGAAUUGUGAGCAGUACGACCGAUCAGGACAGCAAAGACAACACCUACAGCAUGAGCAGCACCCUCAUGUUGACCAAAGCAGAGUAUGAGAGUCACAACUUGUAUUCCUGUGAGGUCACCCACAAGACGUCACCUACAGCCAUCGUCAAGAGCUUCAAGAAGGAUGAGUGUUAGAGCCGCAGGUCCUGAGUCACCACCACCUGCCUCCUGGGACCCUGCUCUCUGGGACCAUCCUCAGUCUUCCCUCCUAAGGUCUUGGAGCUUUCUCCACAGACAACCUACCACUGUUGCAGUCCUCAAAUCCCCUCCCUGCCUCAUCCCCCUCCCUUUCCUUGGCUUUUAUCAUGCUAAUAUUUGGGGAAGAUAUUGAAUAAAGUGAAUCUUUGCACUUGA